rnacentral:misc_RNA from 1 species
CAGAUCUGUAGAGCAGAGAAGCAAAAAUGUUAUCCCAGAAGCAAGCAGAGGAACAGAUGGUAUCUAGCUUCAAUGAAACUGAGCAUGAAGAGAAAGAAGAAGAUCAGAAUAAGGGAGAUGACUCCAUUUUUAGCCUCAAGAGUAUUCUUUGGCAUGGUGGGUCUGUGUAUGAUGCCUGGUUUAGCUGUGCCUCAAAUCAGGUUGCUCAGGUUCUGUUGACACUGCCCUACUCUUUCUCCCAAAUGGGGAUGCUUUCUGGAAUAAUUUUGCAGGUAUUUUAUGGUAUUAUGGGGAGUUGGACUGCAUAUCUCAUCAGUGUUCUAUAUAUAGAGUACCGAAGCAGAAGGGAGAAAGAGAAUGUUAGCUUCAAGAACCAUGUCAUACAGUGGUUUGAAGUGCUAGAUGGUUUGCUAGGUCCAACCUGGAAAGCUGUCGGGUUGGCCUUUAACUGCACUUUUCUACUCUUUGGUUCUGUUAUACAACUUAUAGCCUGUGCAAGCAAUAUAUACUACAUUAAUGACAAAUUAGACAAAAGAACAUGGACAUAUAUCUUUGGAGCUUGCUGUGCCACCACUGUGUUCAUACCUUCAUUUCACAAUUACAGAAUUUGGUCAUUUCUUGGGCUUGGAAUGACCACCUACACUGCCUGGUAUUUGACCAU